rnacentral:rRNA from 1 species
AGGGUGUAAACGCUGCGGGCUUGGUGUUGGGGGUCCUUUGAGGGCGCCCAGUGCCGGAGAGAAGUUGUUAAGCCUGCUGCUUGGGGAGUACGUCCGCAAGGAUGAAACUUAAAGGAAUUGGCGGGGGAGGCACCGCAACGGGAGGAGCGUGCGGUUCAAUUGGAUUCAACGCCGGACAACUCACCAGGAGCGACGGUUACAUGAAGGCCAGGCUGAUGACCUUGCCUGAUUUUCCGAGAGGAGGUGCAUGGCGUGUGACGUCU